rnacentral:rRNA from 1 species
CCUACGGGUGGCAGCAGUGGGGAAUAUUGCACAAUGGGGGAAACCCUGAUCCAGCAACGCCGCGUGAGUGAGGAAGUAUUUCGGUAUGUAAAGCUCUAUCAGCAGGGAAUAGAAAAGAAGGUACCUGAAAAAGAAGCCCCGGCGAACUACGUGCCAGCACCCGCGGUAAUAAGUAGGGGGCAAGCGUUAUCCGGAUUUACUGGGUGUAAAGGGAGCGUAGACGGGAAGGCAAGUCAGAAGUGAAAGUGCAAGGCUCAACCAUGGGACUGCUUUUGAAACUGUCGAACUGGAGUACGGGAGAGGUAAGAGGAAUUCGUAGUGUAGCGGUGAAAUGCGUAGAUAUUAGGAGGAACACCAGUGGCGAAGGCGUCUUACUGGACCGAAACUGACGUUGAGGCUCGAAAGCGUGGGGAGCAAACAGGAUUAGAUACCCUUGUAGUC